rnacentral:rRNA from 1 species
UACGGGGGGAGCAAGCGUUGUUCGGAUUUACUGGGCGUAAAGGGCGCGUAGGCGGCCACCGCAAGUCAGUUGUGAAAUCUCCGAGCUUAACUCGGAACGGUCAACUGAUACUGUCUUGCUAGAGUACAGAAGGGGCAAUCGGAAUUCUUGGUGUAGCGGUGAAAUGCGUAGAUAUCAAGAGGAACACCUGAGGUGAAGACGGGUUGCUGGGCUGAUACUGACGCUGAGGCGCGAAAGCUAGGGUAGCAAACGGG